rnacentral:rRNA from 1 species
UACGUAGGGACCGAGCGUUGUCCGGAAUCAUUGGGCGUAAAGAGCGUGUAGGCGGCCUUUUAAGUCCUGCGUGAAAUCCUGCGGCUCAACCGCAGACGGUCGUGGGAAACUGGAAGGCUAGAGUGCGGGAGAGGAGAGUGGAAUUCCCGGUGUAGCGGUGAAAUGCGCAGAUAUCGGGAGGAACACCAAUGGCGAAGGCAGCUCGCUGGGACGUUACUGACGCUGAGACGCGAAAGCGUGGGGAGCAAACAGG